rnacentral:RNase_P_RNA from 1 species
CAGGCAAGGAUGGAACCGAGGUGUAAGAGACCCCGAGGAACGCUGGUGACUUCGUUCCUGGUAAACCCCAUCUGGAGCAAGACCUAAUGGGACACAGCUUCUUCGCGAAGCAGCCUUAGCCCGAGGCGUGUCUAGGUUGGUCGCUGGAGCUGGAUAGCAAUGUUCGGCCUAGAUAGAUGAUUGUCGCUUGUAGUGGGAGGGUAGUUCCCGUCUGUACCACGAAUAGCACAGAACCCGGCUUACGGAAAACUUUCCCCA